AACGCUUUGUCCCUAGCUUUAUCGCGUUUACAAAUAUUUCAAUAUAUACUACAAUAUGGCGAUAUCGAAUCACAAACUAAUGGAAUACGUAACAUAUAUUCUCCACAGGAGAAGAGUCCCUGCAGCAGUCCGAUUCCAUCCUCCGCAGAAAGCAGUUUCCGAGGUCAGAGGUCACCGCUAGGCCCUUGCUUUCCUAUGAGUUUUCCAGGUGACCUCAGUGACCUGGACGGGGCCGUGAGGCAGAGGAGGCAGGAGUUGGAGGAGAGCAGCAGCUCCGACUCUCAAAUGCCCGACUACGAGAAGCUAAAUUCCCUGUGGCGCCAUUCCUAGAAGUGUUGAACCACAUGGACCGAGUGGCCUCUCCUACACAUCUGGUGAACAACAACAACAACCAGCAACAGAAGCACCAGACCAACCAGCAGACACUGGACCAGAACCAGAAUGAGACCAAAUCUGCAGGUAACAACAACAGCAACUUUCUCCAGCAACUGUGUUUAAAGACGGAUUUCUUUGAAGAACGGUAGUGAGACCUGCUAUGAUG